GCAGUCGAGCGGGGAAAGGGUAGCUUGCUACCUGACCUAGCGGCGGACGGGUGAGUAAUGCUUAGGAAUCUGCCUAUUAGUGGGGGACAACAUUCCGAAAGGAAUGCUAAUACCGCAUACGCCCUACGGGGGAAAGCAGGGGAUCUUCGGACCUUGCGCUAAUAGAUGAGCCUAAGUCAGAUUAGCUAGUUGGUGGGGUAAAGGCCUACCAAGGCGACGAUCUGUAGCGGGUCUGAGAGGAUGAUCCGCCACACUGGGACUGAGACACGGCCCAGACUCCUACGGGAGGCAGCAGUGGGGAAUAUUGGACAAUGGGCGAAAGCCUGAUCCAGCCAUGCCGCGUGUGUGAAGAAGGCCUUUUGGUUGUAAAGCACUUUAAGCGAGGAGGAGGCUACUUGGAUUAAUACUCUAGGAUAGUGGACGUUACUCGCAGAAUAAGCACCGGCUAACUCUGUGCCAGCAGCCGCGGUAAUACAGAGGGUGCGAGCGUUAAUCGGAUUUACUGGGCGUAAAGCGUGCGUAGGCGGCUUUUUAAGUCGGAUGUGAAAUCCCUGAGCUUAACUUAGGAAUUGCAUUCGAUACUGGGAAGCUAGAGUAUGGGAGAGGAUGGUAGAAUUCCAGGUGUAGCGGUGAAAUGCGUAGAGAUCUGGAGGAAUACCGAUGGCGAAGGCAGCCAUCUGGCCUAAUACUGACGCUGAGGUACGAAAGCAUGGGGAGCAAACAGGAUUAGAUACCCUGGUAGUCCAUGCCGUAAACGAUGUCUACUAGCCGUUGGGGCCUUUGAGGCUUUAGUGGCGCAGCUAACGCGAUAAGUAGACCGCCUGGGGAGUACGGUCGCAAGACUAAAACUCAAAUGAAUUGACGGGGGCCCGCACAAGCGGUGGAGCAUGUGGUUUAAUUCGAUGCAACGCGAAGAACCUUACCUGGUCUUGACAUAGUAAGAACUUUCCAGAGAUGGAUUGGUGCCUUCGGGAACUUACAUACA
rnacentral:rRNA from 1 species